CAAUAGCGUAUAUUAAAGUUGUUACAGUUAAAAAGCUCGUAGUUGGAUUUCUGGUUGAAGCGACCGGUCGGGCGUUGAUUCGUCUGCACUGGAGUCGGUUUUGGCCAUCCUCUAGGAAAGUGCGUCUGGUAUUAAGUUAUCGGGCGUAUGAUCCUGGUCUUUUACUGUGAAAAAAUUAGAGUGUUUAAAGCAGGCCUUCGCCUUGAAUACAUUAGCAUGGAAUAAUAAGAUAGGACUUUGGUCUAUUUUGUUGGUUUGCAGACCGAAGUAAUGAUUAAUAGGGAUAGUUGGGGGUAUUUAUAUUCCGAUGUCAGAGGUGAAAUUCUUAGAUUUUCGGAAGAUAAACUUAUGCGAAAGCAUUUACCAAGGAUGUUUUCAUUAA
rnacentral:rRNA from 1 species